GACGAACGCUGGCGGCGUGCUUAACACAUGCAAGUCGAACGGAAAGGCCCUGCGUUUGUGGGGUGCUCGAUUGGCGAACGGGUGAGUAACACGUGAGUAACCUGCCCUUGACUUUGGGAUAACUUCAGGAAACUGGGGCUAAUACCGGAUAGGAGCUCCUGCUGCAUGGUGGGGGUUGGAAAGUUUCGGCGGUUGGGGAUGGACUCGCGGCUUAUCAGCUUGUUGGUGGGGUAGGGGCUUACCAAGGCUUUGACGGGUAGCCGGCCUGAGAGGGGGACCGGCCACAUUGGGACUACGGUACGGCCCAGAAUCCUACGGGAGGCAGCAGUGGGGAAUAUUGCACAAUGGGCGGAAGCCUGAUGCAGCAACGCCGCGUGCGGGAUGACGGCCUUCGGGUUGUAAACCGCUUUCGCCUGUGACGAAGCGUGAGUGACGGUAAUGGGUAAAGAAGCACCGGCUAACUACGUG
rnacentral:rRNA from 1 species